rnacentral:tRNA from 1 species
GGGCUUGUAGUUCAACGGUUAGAACAGGUGUCUUAUAAACACCAGACCCAGGUUCAACUCCUGGCUAGCCCA